UUUUUAGUAACUAUAGCCCAACACUGGUGGACAGACUCUCAUCAAGACUAUUUUUUUCUGAAUAAAUCAUCUCUCCAUUGAUGUGUGAUUUGUUAGGAGGACAAUAUUUGUCUGAGAUACAACUAUUUGAAAAUCUGGGGGAGCAAAAAAAAAAUUAAUAUUGAGAAAAUCAUCUUUACAGUUAGCACUCUUCAGAGAUACUAAAUAUGAUAAUAUUUUGUAAUUAUCAUUUAAAUCUGACUACUUUUCAGGAGAAUGUGAUGGGGUUUCAAAUCAAAAUAUGAUCUGUUAUGAAACAGGGCAUCGAUUUCAUACUCCAGGACAAAGCAUGUUUAUUACACAUUUUGGGAGACACAACAGAUUAAUAGAGAAUAUUUUUCUAUUAAAUAUUACACAUUGUUAUUAAAAUCUUGCAAAUUGUUA